UUUUAGUCAUCCGUCGCAUUGGUUCUGUUACCUGUUGUGAAUAAGUAGUUGUGAACCCGUCGCAGUGAAAUGAUCGAAUACAUCGUGGGCACGUUUUUGGUCAUUGUACUAAUGGUCAAAGGAACACCGAUGCGUCUAAUCAGGUGUAUUAUAAGCAACCUGAGGCAAGUGUCUCGCGUCACGUCGACGUCGGACCUUGUCAAGUGUUCUGACGAGGAAACAGAGACUGAACGUGUCCUCACCGCCGAGGAAGGAAUCCAGGCUACCCCGCCCAAGAGAUCUCCUGCAAGAAAGCAGCAGCAGCGUUGUACGCCAUGGUGGUUGCUGUUCAUUGUGGCGUGCACGCUCUGCGUGCUGGGUAUCUUUAUCGUGACGUCGUCCCUUAACCCAAUCUCUCCACCUGUCACAGCGUCACCUACAUGCGCAGUUACGGAAAUCUUCACUGGCUACGUAACAACGCAGAUGGGCGAAGGAGAAUCCACAGCGGCCAGCGCGCGGGCACCUUCGUCACCGGCCCCUUCGUCACCGGCCCCUUCGUCACCGGCCCCUUCGCCACCGGCCCCUUCGUCACCGGCCCCUUCGUCACCGGCCCCUUCGUCACCGGCCCCUUCGUCACCGGCACCUUCGUCACCGGCCCCUUCGUCACCGGCACCUUCGUCACCGGCCCCUUCGUCACCGGCCCCUUCGUCACCGGCCCCUUCGUCACCGGCCCCUUCGUCACCGGCCCCUUCGUCACCGGCACCUUCGUCACCGGCCCCUUCGUCACCGGCCCCUUCGUCACCGGCCCCUUUAUCACCGGCCCCUUUAUCACCGGCCCCUUCGUCACCGGCCCCUUCUACAAGUACCGAAAGCUUACCCUCGACACCCGGCACAACAGCUGCUGAAAGCUUACCUUCGACCCCCGGCACUACAGCCGCUGAAAGCUUACCUUCGACAUCUUCAACACCCGGCACAACAGCUGCUGAAAGCUUACCUUCGACAUCUUCAACACCCCGCACAACAGCUGCUGAAAGCUUACCUUCAACAUCUUUGGCACCCAGCACUACAGCCCCUGCAGGGAAGCUGAUCCUCUGUUCAACAGCAAUGAGACCGGCAAAAUGGUUGCCAAGUGACGGCGUCUGCGAUCUCAUUUUUUUUCUGGUGAACAUAACAAGCAGCGGACAUAUAAAUGUCCACAGGGUCUCCAGUGCGUUCGCCAUGAUCAAGAGGUACGCGGCGAAAUCAAAGACGACGCUGUGCGGUCUGGACUUUGACUUUAAGGCUAUCCAUCGAAUUGAAAAGAACAUCAUCCUUACGUCAUCCUUAAAGACCAUCACAAACUCUGGCGUGUCCUUGUGCGGCGUACUCACGGUAGAAGUCGGAGAAACGUGGAGCACGCGCCUUGACGCAACUGCGAACGUGCUCAGGACUGCUAUGAGUGCACUAGUGACUCCUAAUGGUCCUGCAAUAGGAGUAAUCACGGAAGAGGGCGCAUCUGGCAAGAGCAAGGGCGUCCACGAUGUCCUUGUGCAGCUGCUUAGAGACGUUCAACCAGCCUAUAUACUGUAUAGGAGUUCGGCAUUGGAAACAGACACACGAGCAUGCAUUGGCAGGGCCCCUUCUCCGUUGCAUGGGGUGUCACCGUCCUUCGACGACGCACUAGCUCUCCUGGAAGGGACCUCCUCAGCAGCGACGAUGGCAGAGACCUUUAUGUCUUUCAGUCCUGUUAGUCUGCUGUACGACUUCGAGAACAAGGUUCAACACGCAGGCACACCAUGUAAAACAGUCAAAUUCUAUGACAACGACUUCUGGUGUAAAGAAAAAGAUGUUGAUCACACUGAUGAAGGGGUAUACAGCCUGCGCUGGGAUAGGCUCCGUAUGGUGGCCGCAGAUGACGUGACGUCCAUCAAAAACAAGAUUUGCAGUGUGAGGUCCCGUGGGUACAAAGGCAACUGGGCGGUACUCUCCGUGGAAGAGGCGAAGGAAUCAGACUGCAAAAAAUCUCCAGAGACUUACAUGGAGAAACUCCGUGACCUGGACCAGUGCAAAACUGGGUAGCCAGAGAAAAGUGAUUCGACUGGCAAGAAUCUUGCUGCCUGGGGUGCGUAGUCCUCCGCUUCCAUCUGUUCAUGCGCUCCGAGGGCACCAGAUCGAUGUUGCUGGACUGAUGCCUACAGGGCAGAAGAGCCAAGGUGUACCGUAGAAAGACAGCUAAAUGAAAAGUGUGGUGUGUAAAGGGUUCAGCUAUACUUUGUACCUUUGUACUUUGUGGGGUUUGUGUACUUUCUGUAAUAAAGCUUGAC